AAGGAACAGGAAGUAUAGGGGUUGACGCUUCUUUUACAAACUUUCCGGACUGUGUGAAAUUCCUCAAGUGUGUCUUUUGUUGCACCGUUUAUAGCUAAAGUGAGCGGAUUUCUAAAACGGUAAUAACGGGGAGGGCAGAAUCAAUGACACACAGCGAAAGCCUGAGAUAAAUGAAACUCGAACUGCUGCUGUAGACGGAGCGUUAACUUGUUGGUUGGAGUAAGAACUAGGCAGAGGAAAGGAGGCUCCAGAUGAAAAGAAAGGAUGAGGCUGACUUAGCUAUGUGGCAAAACCAUCAACUUUACAAGUAGAGCCGCUGUUCUUUCGGAGAAGGUGAGAUGGAGGGUGAGAAAGAGAAACAGAGGCAGCAGCGGGAGGAGAAGGAGAGCAAUGAGGCGGACGAUGAUGGGAGGAGCGAUGAUGAUUAUGCUGACAAUGAAGAGGAGGAAGAGGAUGAAGAUAUUGAGGGGGCAUCACUGGUGUGGCAAGAACGCUGUGGAGAGGACAAUCUUGGCCUUCCCAUCAUGCACUGGGAGGCACUGAGCCUGCGUAUUGCUGAGCUAGAGAAGCAAGAAGAGGAGAAGAAACAAAAGAAGGCAAAGAGUGGAGUUUCUCUUGAGCGAGGCCGAGCCCCAGUGAGCUGGAUGGAGGAGAGAGCGAGGAGAGCAGAGAGCUGUGAGGAUGGAGACGAUGCCUGUAACAGCCACGUGCUGGCACUCACCUCCCGCCUGCAGACACAGAUGAACCUCCAGCUCUGCUUCAUCAACAACAGUGAAAGUGAAGAAGAGGAGGAGCAAAAAGAAGAGACUGGCAAAAAGGAGAACAACAACUCAUCGAGAGGGACUGUUCAGGUUCAUAAGAAUCCUCAGCCUCCUGCCAAGCCUGAGAAAUCUAAGUCAAGAGGGUUCAGGAACACUCUGAGGAACCUACGAGACCGACUGAGGAUGGACCAUAAAGCAGGGACUGCAGCUCACAGUGAUCCUGUGGUACACAGAAGACAUUUAGAGCUGAGUGAUUUGCAGAGUCUCAGCAUCAAGGAUCUGAAUGCUCUCUAUGCGUCACUCACUCAGGCCAUACAAGACCUGAGCUCAGAGCUGGUAGGUCGUCUCCAAGUUAGAGACCAGUUGAGGACAGAGCAAGAUGCCAUGCUGCUGGAGGUUCAGGAUCUGACAUCGCUAUGAACUUCUGAGGCUCGGUUUGGGAGUGGGUAUGGCACAUUUGGACACACACUCUUUCUCUCAGUCGGUCGUUCUUCAGGAUGACCAGCCAAGCCACUGUGAAGAGGGUAGCAUCUUACAAGGACUCUGACAUUCAGGGUGUAUGUUGGGUUUGUUUGGAAGUUUUGUUCCAGUGAAGACAGAAUCCAAAACUGUGUUUGUGUGACAGACCCAUCAGAGGAUCACAUGUUUCUCUAAUGAGCUGUGUGGUAUUGUAAAUGGAUCCAGCCAGUGAGCAGUUGCGGUAAAAGUAUAUGUAGUUAUAAUCACCAACCUAUCCAAUCAGAUUAAGGAUCAGUACCAGUGGUGUCCACAGCACAUAUAGGUCUGGUUAAAAAGGAUACAAAAAACACUUUCGGUGGUUUUUUUAUGGGAGCUAGAGCCCGACUGAUAUAUCACUCUUCCAGUAUUAUAGGCCUAUCACAGACAUAUGUCUGUCAUGCAUGGUGCUCAACAUGCUUUCAUCAGAAGAACAGAAUGCAGGAAAUGGAGCUCAGGAUCAUUUAAAAUGGUGUCAUGUCAUAGUUACAAUGUGACUGUAUUCCAGUGUUUACAAGACUCAACAUGUCUAUAGUACAUGUAGCAGUUGAGUAUUGAGAGUAUUGACACCUGUGGAGUUUGUGAAAUACAAUGUUAGAUAGUUAAUAAUUAGUGUCACCAUUGUGUAGUGAGUUAGUUAAACAUCUAUAGUCUGUUAAUCAGUAUAGAAGUAAAUGUACUUAUUUUAAAUCUCCUGCCAAUUUUCCCAUUCUGGGAGUACUAAAGGAUCAUCCUAUUUUAUCUUGAACAUUAAAAUUGGACUAUUUUACCUCUAGAAAAUCAGUAUUGGUCCAAAAUGCCAGAUAUCAGUUGGGUUCUUGGGCUCUAAUGGGGAGAAUCUACAAACAGACCAAGUGUGACUUGUACAGUAUGUGACUGUGUACAGAUGAGAUGAGCCCUUGCUUCUUUUUCAUGUACGUUUAUG
rnacentral:lncRNA from 1 species